rnacentral:rRNA from 1 species
AUUGAACGCUGGCGGCAUGCCUUACACAUGCAAGUCGAACGGCAGCACGGGCUUCGGUCUGGUGGCGAGUGGCGAACGGGUGAGUAAUGUAUCGGAACGUACCAUUGAGUGGGGGAUAACGUAGCGAAAGUUACGCUAAUACCGCAUAUUCUCUCCGGAGGAAAGCAGGGGACCGCAAGGCCUUGCGCUCUUUGAGCGGCCGAUAUCAGAUUAGCUAGUUGGUGGGGUAAAAGCUCACCAAGGCGACGAUCUGUAGCGGGUCUGAGAGGAUGAUCCGCCACACUGGAACUGAGACACGGUCCAGACUCCUACGGGAGGCAGCAGUGGGGAAUUUUGGACAAUGGGGGCAACCCUGAUCCAGCCAUGCCGCGUGAGUGAAGAAGGCCUUCGGGUUGUAAAGCUCUUUCGGCCGGGAAAAAAUCGCAUGGGCUAAUACUCUGUGUGGAUGAUGGUACCGGAAUAAGAAGCACCGGCUAACUACGUGCCAGCCGCCGCAGUAA